GGAUUGUUUAAGAGUUCGUAUACAACAUUCUUUAAAAACUGCUAAAUAGAUUGUGUGAAAAAUUGCUUCAUUCUCAAAAAAAGUAAGGUGC
rfam:Octopus bimaculoides Scaffold22021_contig_45, whole genome shotgun sequence.